rnacentral:rRNA from 1 species
CAAUAGCGUAUAUUAAAGUUGUUGCGGUUAAAAAGCUCGUAGUUGGAGUUCUGCCAGGUGCCGCCUGUCCGCCCCAGUGGUGAGUACGUGGCGCGCAUUUGGCCCUUUCAAGGGGAGCGUAUCUGCACUUUAUUGUGUGGUGCGGGAUCCUUGACUUUUACUUUGAGGAAAUAGGAGUGUUCCAAGCAGGCUCUCGUCGUGCACAGCUCAGCAUGGAAUAAUAGCAUUGGACCUCGAUUCUAAGCUGUUGGUUGCCAGAAGCGAGGUAAUGAUGAAGAGGGAUAGUUGGGGGCAUUCGUACUUAACUGUCAGAGGUGAAAUUCUUGGAUUUGUUAAAGACGAACUACUGCGAAAGCAUCUGCCAUGGAUGUUUUCAUUGA